rnacentral:rRNA from 1 species
UCGAGGAUCUUCCCCAAUGGGCGCAAGCCUGAGGGAGCGACGCCGCGUGCGGGAUGAAGGCCUUCGGGUUGUAAACCGCUUUAGGGGGGGAGGAAGCCGCAAGGUUGACCUAUCCCCAAAAUAAGCACGGGCUAAGUUCGUGCCAGCAGCCGCGGUAAGACGAACCGUGCGAACGUUGUUCGGAAUCACUGGGCUUAAAGGGCGCGUAGGUGGUCUGUCAAGUCGGGGGUGAAAUCUUUCGGCUCAACCGGAAAACUGCCUUCGAUACUGACAGGCUUGAGGGAGGUAGGGGUUGCGGGAACUACCAGUGGAGCGGUGAAAUGCGUUGAUAUUGGUAGGAACGCCGGUGGCGAAAGCGCGCAACUGGAUCUCUUCUGACACUGAGUGCGCGAAAGCUAGGGGAGCAAACGGGAUUAGAUACCCCCGUAGUCC